AUUUAUCAGCCUAGACUGUUUGGUCUUAAACUGGUUUAAGCUUGAAUUAGCUGGUUUUCCCAGGUUGUUUUUUUUAGCUUGUCUCCCAGCUUGACCAUGCUAAAACAAGUGAGACAUUUUGAUACAGGUCCUUUGUUCCUAUAAUAAUAACUAAUAAAGCUUUAAUCUCAAAGCUGUAUGAAUCUGCAGACAAUGGCACAACAACACAAAGUUUUAAUUGUUUUAACCGUGAACAGAAAACGAUAAAAAACUCAUUUUUAAAAAAAUCUUUAUACUUGAACAAACUAUCCAAAGGGGGUCUUUUAUCUAAUAUUGUGUUUGAGUGUCGUCAGAUCAACGCAUCCGCCAUUUUAAUGUCUCUUACCCCAGUUCAGUUGAGAGCUGGUUUUAAUCAAUUAGGCCUACAUGUAGAUUCGCUUAUCUCCGUUUAUCUACUGCUUUAGAUGCUGACAAAAUCCCAGAAUUGGUUAAAAAUAUAUAAAAUACACAUUUGUAAACUAGACGGCUAAGAACUGAGUCAGUAACGCAACUCAUUUUCAGUCUGAUGGUGGUGAAACACGACUCGUCUGGUAGAAACUGUGCAGUUUGUCAUCCGCUCCUCUAGGGGCGCAAGCGGCUUCACGUUCAUAACAACUUCGGAUCCUUGUCAACAACACCUGAUGUCAACUUGACAGUCGCCGCACCACGUUCUGAUCGUUUUACAGUCAUAAAAGUGCAGAUCCUGCAGAUGACAGCUCAGUGACAGACUCAUAAAGUCACUCAACGGCACAUAUUCCAGCCCAUCAGAAAAAUCAACUGACACACAUUGUGAUAAUGAGGGAGCAUCGACAGCGUCACGCGACUCACCUAUUGUUUCGUCAGCAGUGGGCGGGACUUACAAGCAGUAAUCCAAUUGGCUGAAAAUGUGAUUAAUAUCUGACACCCUGUUACCAAUUUGCAAUCCACCUGAAGACCAGCGUGAGCACAAGGAGAAGUCUUCUUUGAAAAUUAGGAUCUCUGGGUCAGAACUGUUGGAGGUCAUGAGGAGGUGGCAGGAGAAGCAGCCACAGCAGUCUCUUGAACUGGAGUCAUUGGAGCGCACACCGUUUGCUGCCGUAAUGUGCCUUUUUACAAGAUCUCUUGGACGUGUCUGAUAACGGUACCAGCUCAUACCCUUUCUCUGGGAUAAAGGUUAUGACAGGCCAUUUCUGUUUGAAUGCAUGUUUGAAAAUGGAGUUAAUUACAAACUGGAGUGAUCAGUUUGUGUGCACAAUAAAAGGCUACAUGUGACGUUUGUGUGCUGUUCAUGAUUUCCAGCUGAUCUCAGCUCUCCAAACAUCAAGACAUGCUGUUACAUACAAUCGAUAGUUCAAAUGAGGUGUGGGCUCAUCUGUCAUUCACUGGCCCACAUCUUUAGUAGGUUUUUUUUUUUUUUUUUUUGGCAAGCUGUGUAUGAUUUGUAAGUUCAUGAUUGCCAAGCUAGAAUCAAUUAAGUUUUCCUCAAUAGAAAUCCAGCUUAUUAGCAGAGUUCACAUAUGAAUGCCUGUAAUGUGAUGCAGCUGUAGUCUGAAUUUUUCAACAUGGAUCAUCUCAAGGGAAACACCCUUUAAAUGCUGGUUUGAGGGUGUGUUUCCCCCAGAGGAAGGCAGGCAGCAUCUGAGAUUUCCAUUGGAUGAUAUCAGGGGUGUGGCUGGAAACAGGAUUGCUUGAUUGAAUCCUGGUGUGGAUUUAAGGGGAGUGGCCAAAAAAAAAAAAAGCCCCACCCAAACUAUCGACUUAGCCUGUGUCUGGAAAUUUUUAUAAGUCGAUUUUGAAAAUUUUGACUUCUGCUCUAUAACCGCUGCUGGAUAUUGUCUCAGAAGUCCCAGGGGGAGCGGUCUGGAUCUUAACUCCCCCCUUUGUGUCUAGCCUUCUCUCAUCCUUCCAGUCAUGAUCUGAUCCGCUCAUUUUCGCAGCUUGUCACAGCUCACGACCGGACAACCGUCACGCAACCGUGUUUCGGUGACCAGGCUGGGGCUUGAACCCAGGUCCUUCCGUUCAGGGAGGACAUGCUCAGACCAUUGAGCUACUGGCACGUUCACAUUAACUACUCUUUUUUUUGGAUUCUUGUCUUUUUUUUUUCAUUGAAAAACCAGUGAAACUAAACUAAUUUUCUACCUCCAGAGAGGGAUUUGAACCAGGACUUCCCACGUUGAAGGCUAACCUUCAGACCGCUGCACCACUGGUCCGUUCUCGGACUCUGCUUUUUUUUUUGGAUUCUUGUCUUUUUUUUUCAUUGAAAAACCAGUGAAACUAAACUAACUUUCUGCCUCCAGAGAGGGAUUUGAACCAGGACUUCCCACGUUGAAGGCUAACCUUCAGACCGCUGCACCACUGGUCCGUUCUCGGACUCUGCUUUUUUUUUUUGGAUUCUUGUCUUUUUUUUUCAUUGAAAAACCAGUGAAACUAAACUAACUUUCUGCCUCCAGAGAGGGAUUUGAACCAGGAUUUCCCACGUCGGAGGCUAACGUUCAGACCGCUGCACCACUGGUCCAUUCUUGGGCUCUGCUUUUUUUUUUUGGAUUCUUGUCUUUUUUUUUCAUCGAAAAAACCAGUGAAACUAAACUAAUUUUGUAUCUCCAGAGAGGGAUUUGAACCAGGAUUUCCCACGUCAAAGGCUAACAUUCAGACCGCUGCACCACUGGUCUGUUCUCGCCCCAGCUCUUUUUUUUUGGGAUUUUAGUCCUUUUUUAAUUGAAAAACCAGUGAAACUAAACUAAUUUUCUAUCUCCAGAGAGGGAUUCGAAUCAGGAUUUCCCACAUGAAGAGCUGACAUUCAGACCGCCGCACCACUGAGAGGGAUUUGAACCAGGACUAUCCCACAGCAAGGGCUGACGUUCAGACCGCUGCACCACUGGUCCAUUCACUCCCCCAGCUCUUUUUUUUGGAUUUUAGUCCUUUUUUAAUUGAAAAACCAGUGAAACUAAACUAAUUUUCUAUCGCCA